UACGUAGGGUGCGAGCGUUGUCCGGAAUUAUUGGGCGUAAAGAGCUCGUAGGCGGCUUGUCGCGUCGGAUGUGAAAGCCCGGGGCUUAACUCCGGGUCUGCAUUCGAUACGGGCAGGCUAGAGUUCGGUAGGGGAGAUCGGAAUUCCUGGUGUAGCGGUGAAAUGCGCAGAUAUCAGGAGGAACACCGGUGGCGAAGGCGGAUCUCUGGGCCGAUACUGACGCUGAGGCGCGAAAGCGUGGGGAGCAAACAGG
rnacentral:rRNA from 1 species